CUUCUUCGUUAUUCUGCAACUUUUUUUUUGGGUUCUUUCUCUUUUAUCUUUGAUUCUUUAAAUCGCCGGCAAAGGACAAGAUUAAUCACAGCUAAUUUCCUUCUUUGGGUAAUAAGAACCCUAAUCGUCGCCGCUACUCUGUUUUGUUGAACUUGAAAACUCCUCUGUCGAUUUCACCAAAAACCAAUGAUUCAUAGAAAACCGAGACCGAGUUUGUUGUUCGUCUGAUUCGAUCUUGCUCCUCAAUUGCUUCGGUGCUCCUCAAACCAAUCGGUGGCUUCAAUUUUCAGUGGCUUCAAUUUUCAUUUUUAUGGUAUAGCGUCUUCGAGUACAGUCUCCAAAUAUCCUCCACGCCUCUAUGAAGAAGGAAGAUCUCCCUUGCAAAACAGGAGCAUGAACCACAAUUGCUUUUUGUCAAAGAUUGGAUAAUGAAAGAGGGUUUAGGCUUGGAUGUGUGGGAUAAAUUGAAGGAAUCAUCUCUUGGAGUAUUUAUUAAGUUAGCUGAAGUGGGAUACACAUGGUCUGCCGCAAAAGUUCAUUAUAUCCUUACACAUCAGCUAGCAGUCAACAAUUCUCAUGAGGUAUGGCCGUUGUUCGAUGGUAGACCUAUCAGAUUUUCCUUAAAUGAGUUUGCUGAAAUAACAGGAUUAAACUGUGAUCCAAUUGAGCCGUCGGAGAACGUAGAUGUUGAUCAUCAUGAAUUUUGGAGGGAAAUGGAGAUUGCAACAACUUCAGAUGGUCCAAAGUAUACUGAGUUGGAGAAGGUUAUGGAUUUUAGCACGACAUGGUCUGAACCGAAAAGGAUGAUGGUUGGUAGGCUGAUGUUAUUAUCCGUUACAGUACAUGGCAUACAUCAUGGUUCUAGGAUCCCUCUUUCCAGUGCUAAAAGGGGUUUUUGAUCCAGUUGGCUUUGAAAAACAUACUUGGGGUCGAGUGGCUUUUACUUGUCUAGUUAAUUCAGUGAAGAUUGUUGACUUAGAUAAAGACUCUUACACGGUUCAAGGAUGUGUGCAUGCUUUGUUGAUUUGGUUGUAUGAAAGUGUUCCUGGCAUUGGAGAACUAUAUGGGCUGAGAAGGUCCACGAGUACUGGCAUUCCACUUCUUGAUUGGCAAUCAACCCGGAAAGGUAUCAAGAUUGAUGAAUUCAUAAAGAAUGAGAUGGCUAAACA